rnacentral:rRNA from 1 species
GAAAAGAAAAUAACAAUGAUUCCCCCAGUAGUGGCGAGCGAACGGGGAAGAGCCCAAACCAUUCAUGUUACGGCAUGGAUGGGGUUGUAGGACCACGGCGUUGCAAGAAAUCUUGUGAGAAGAACAGUCUGGAAAGACUGACCAGAGACGGUGACAGUCCGGUAUUCGAAGCAAGACGAAGCAUAGUGGUAUCCUGAGUAGCGCGGAACACGAGGAAUUCUGCGUGAAUCUGCCGGGACCAUCCGG